CAAUGCAGCACUACAAAGGGGACAAGCAGCAGCAGUAAUGGAUGGGAGAAGCCCAGAGGGGAUCUACUGAUCAUCUAUCGAUUUUUCUUCUCUUCACUUUGCAGGUGAAGGGGCCUCGCGGGCUGGAUAGAAUGGCCUGGCAGGCAGCAUCCAGCUCCCAGGCUGCAUUUUGCCCACCCCUGCACUAGGAUCUAUAGCUAUGAGUUAUCUCUACAGGAUUGACCUCAUCUGAAAGCCUGAGGAGAAGCCAAGUUUUCUGUGGGAGUUCAAAAGAUCUGCCUAGUCAGUUUUCUGAGGCCCAGAUCAGUGCAAGCUUCAAGCAGAAUUCUACUACUAUUGUACCAGCCUGCCAUCAUCCCCUGUACUACUGUUUGUACUGCCACAGGGCACUUGUACAUGUGACACCAUUACCAUGUACGCAGAUUUGAUGCUCCAAAAUAAACAAGUUUAAAUUUUAUAAACCUAUUUAAUUUAGUGAGGAUUAAAACCCACGGUGUGUACAUGCACCCCUAAGGACUAAACUCCCAUCACAAGUAAAAGCAUCCACAGUGACUUUGUUAGUCUGACACUCUUUAGCUUAGCUUUGUACAAGGCAGAAAUAGAGAUGCGAGGGCCCCAUGUAUCCUUCCCUCUCUUUUGGAGUUACAUUGGCUAACCCUCAUUUAUUUAAAAAUAUAUUACACAAAAUACAUUCUGUCAUUGUACAUACAGAUACAUUUCAGGCAAAUUGACUAAUUUUAUAACAAUAUGGAUGUAUUUUUGAGUGCAUUUGUAUGUUAUUAAAUCUGCAUAACUCAUACAUGGAAAAUAUUGGAAAAUACUUUCAGUGGAACUUUGUAGAUCAAGCACCAGCUAGCAAGGAGUCUGCGUUUCCUUUUGCGUGUGUCACUGGCAAAACUCAACAUAUAUACAGACCCUGCAGUCACAGAAUACCCUCACUUCUCAUUCCUAAAGGUUCUUUCAGCAGGAGUUAAAACUGAAUGAGCUGUCACAAAUUUGUGGAAGGUGUAACCCAGGUAACUUAGGUAUAUACUCCCCUUCUCCAAUUGAAGGGGAUUG